GUAGGUGGCAAGCGUUGUCCGGAAUUAUUGGGCGUAAAGCGCGCGCAGGCGGUUCUUUAAGUCUGAUGUGAAAGCCCACGGCUCAACCGUGGAGGGUCAUUGGAAACUGGAGAACUUGAGUACAGAAGAGGAAAGCGGAAUUCCACGUGUAGCGGUGAAAUGCGUAGAGAUGUGGAGGAACUCCAGUGGCGAAGGCGGCUUUCUGGUCUGUAACUGACGCUGAGGCGCGAAAGCGUGGGGAGCAAACAGGAUUAGAUACCCUGGUAGUCCACGCCGUAAACGAUGAGUGCUAAGUGUUAGGGGGGUUUCCGCCCCCCUUAGUGCUGCAGCUAACGCAUUAAGCACUCCGCCUGGGAGUACGGCCGCAAGGCUG
rnacentral:rRNA from 1 species